rnacentral:rRNA from 1 species
AAAAGGUGGCUAUACUACCGCUUUUGGAUGGGCCCGCGGCGCAUUAGCUAGUUGGUAGGGUAAAGGCUUACCAAGGCAAUGAUGCGUAGCCGAAUUGAGAGGUUGAUCGGCCACAUUGGGACUGAGACACGGCCCAAACUCCUACGGGAGGCAGCAGUAGGGAAUCUUCCACAAUGGGCGAAAGCCUGAUGGAGCAACGCCGCGUGGGUGAAGAAGGUCUUCGGAUCGUAAAACCCUGUUGUUAGAGAAGAAAGUGCGUGAGAGUAACUGUUCACGUUUCGACGGUAUCUAACCAGAAAGCCACGGCUAACUACGUGCCAGCAGCCGCGGUAAUACGUAGGUGGCAAGCGUUAUCCGGAUUUAUUGGGCGUAAAGGGAACGCAGGCGGUCUUUUAAGUCUGAUGUGAAAGCCUUCGGCUUAACCGGAGUAGUGCAUUGGAAACUGGGAGACUUGAGUGCAGAAGAGGAGAGUGGAGCUCCAUGUGUAGCGGUGAAAUGCGUAGAUAUAUGGAAGAACACCAGUGGCGAAAGCGGCUCUCUGGUCUGUAACUGACGCUGAGGUUCGAAAGCGUGGGUAGCAAACAGGAUUAGAUACCCUGGUAGUCCACGCCGUAAACGAUGAAUGCUAAGUGUUGGAGGGUUUCCGCCCUUCA